AUUCUCUUUAGGAGCUCUACCUGUUGCUGCAGUUCUAGUUUUGCUUGUAGCUACAAAGUUCAUCACAGUACGCUGUAAUAAAGGAGCAGCUGAAGAGAGACAGGUAAACGGGGAGAGAAACAGGAUGACAUUCAGCACAAAGCUGGAGGUGGAAUCAAACCCUCACGCUCCACCAGGUUCUCCUGAGCAGGGAAACGGUUAUCAUAAAGAUCUUCCAGAGCUGCUGUGAAGGUGUGUGUGAAUCUGUAGACUGAGUCACGCAUGUUAGUCACAAACAACCAAAUACUGUUUUGUUGGACCAUUUACAUUUACUCAUCUGGCAGACGCUUUUAUCCGAAGCGACUUACAUUUGAGGAACAACAUACAAGCGUCAACAGAGCAUCAACUACAGAUCUACAACUGACAAUACA